GCCCGGUUAGCUCAAUCGGUAGAGCAUGAGGCUUUUAAUCUCAGGGUCAUGGGUUCCAGCCCCACAUUGGGCG